CAGUAGCCGCGGGAAUACGUAGGUGGCAAGCGUUGUCCGGAAUUAUUGGGCGUAAAGCGCGCGCAGGUGGUUUAAUAAGUCUGAUGUGAAAGCCCACGGCUCAACCGUGGAGGGUCAUUGGAAACUGUUAAACUUGAGUGCAGGAGAGAAAAGUGGAAUUCCUAGUGUAGCGGUGAAAUGCGUAGAGAUUAGGAGGAACACCAGUGGCGAAGGCGGCUUUUUGGCCUGUAACUGACACUGAGGCGCGAAAGCGUGGGGAGCAAACAGGAUUAGAUACCCCAGUAGUCCCUGUCUCUUAUAA
rnacentral:rRNA from 1 species